CAGGCUUAACACAUGCAAGUCGAGGGGCAGCAUGGUCUUAGCUUGCUAAGGCCGAUGGCGACCGGCGCACGGGUGAGUAACACGUAUCCAACCUGCCGUCUACUCUUGGACAGCCUUCUGAAAGGAAGAUUAAUACAAGAUGGCAUCAUGAGUCCGCAUGUUCACAUGAUUAAAGGUAUUCCGGUAGACGAUGGGGAUGCGUUCCAUUAGAUAGUAGGCGGGGUAACGGCCCACCUAGUCUUCGAUGGAUAGGGGUUCUGAGAGGAAGGUCCCCCACAUUGGAACUGAGACACGGUCCAAACUCCUACGGGAGGCAGCAGUGAGGAAUAUUGGUCAAUGGGCGAGAGCCUGAACCAGCCAAGUAGCGUGAAGGAUGACUGCCCUAUGGGUUGUAAACUUCUUUUAUAAAGGAAUAAAGUCGGGUAUGGAUACCCGUUUGCAUGUACUUUAUGAAUAAGGAUCGGCUAACUCCGUGCCAGCAGCCGCGGUAAUACGGAGGAUCCGAGCGUUAUCCGGAUUUAUUGGGUUUAAAGGGAGCGUAGAUGGAUGUUUAAGUCAGUUGUGAAAGUUUGCGGCUCAACCGUAAAAUUGCAGUUGAUACUGGAUAUCUUGAGUGCAGUUGAGGCAGGCGGAAUUCGUGGUGUAGCGGUGAAAUGCUUAGAUAUCACGAAGAACUCCGAUUGCGAAGGCAGCCUGCUAAGCUGCAACUGACAUUGAGGCUCGAAAGUGUGGGUAUCAAACAGGAUUAGAUACCCUGGUAGUCCACACGGUAAACGAUGAAUACUCGCUGUUUGCGAUAUACAGCAAGCGGCCAAGCGAAAGCGUUAAGUAUUCCACCUGGGGAGUACGCCGGCGACGGUGAAACUCAAAGGAAUUGACGGGGGCCCGCACAAGCGGAGGAACAUGUGGUUUAAUUCGAUGAUACGCGAGGAACCUUACCCGGGCUUAAAUUGCAGAUGAAUUACGGUGAAAGCCGUAAGCCGCAAGGCAUCUGUGAAGGUGCUGCAUGGUUGUCGUCAGCUCGUGCCGUGAGGUGUCGGCUUAAGUGCCAUAACGAGCGCAACCCUUGUUGUCAGUUACUAACAGGUUCCGCUGAGGACUCUGACAAGACUGCCAUCGUAAGAUGUGAGGAAGGUGGGGAUGACGUCAAAUCAGCACGGCCCUUACGUCCGGGGCUACACACGUGUUACAAUGGGGGGUACAGAGGGCCGCUACCACGCGAGUGGAUGCCAAUCCCCAAAACCUCUCUCAGUUCGGACUGGAGUCUGCAACCCGACUCCACGAAGCUGGAUUCGCUAGUAAUCGCGCAUCAGCCACGGCGCGGUGAAUACGUUCCCGGGCCUUGUACACACCGCCCGUCAAGCCAUGGGAGCCGGGGGUACCUGAAGUGCGUAACCGCGAGGAGCGCCCUAGGGUAAAACUGGUGACUGGGGC
rnacentral:rRNA from 1 species